rnacentral:rRNA from 1 species
CAGGCUUAACACAUGCAAGUCGAGGGGCAGCAUGGUCUUAGCUUGCUAAGACUGAUGGCGACCGGCGCACGGGUGAGUAACACGUAUCCAACCUGCCGUCUACUCUUGGACAGCCUUCUGAAAGGAAGAUUAAUACAAGAUGGCAUCAUGAGUCCGCAUGUUCACAUGAUUAAAGGUAUUCCGGUAGACGAUGGGGAUGCGUUCCAUUAGAUAGUAGGCGGGGUAACGGCCCACCUAGUCUUCGAUGGAUAGGGGUUCUGAGAGGAAGGUCCCCCACAUUGGAACUGAGACACGGUCCAAACUCCUACGGGAGGCAGCAGUGAGGAAUAUUGGUCAAUGGGCGAGAGCCUGAACCAGCCAAGUAGCGUGAAGGAUGACUGCCCUAUGGGUUGUAAACUUCUUUUAUAAAGGAAUAAAGUCGGGUAUGCAUACCCGUUUGCAUAUACUUUAUGAAUAAGGAUCGGCUAACUCCGUGCCAGCAGCCGCGGUAAUACGGAGGAUCCGAGCGUUAUCCGGAUUUAUUGAGUUUAAAGGGAGCGUAGAUGGAUGUUUAAGUCAGUUGUGAAAGUUUGCGGCUCAACCGUAAAAUUGCAGUUGAUACUGGAUAUCUUGAGUGCAGUUGAGGCAGGCGGAAUUCGUGGUGUAGCGGUGAAAUGCUUAGAUAUCACGAAGAACUCCGAUUGCGAAGGCAGCCUGCUAAGCUGCAACUGACAUUGAGGCUCGAAAGUGUGGGUAUCAAACAGGAUUAGAUACCCUGGUAGUCCACACGGUAAACGAUGAAUACUCGCUGUUUGCGAUAUACAGCAAGCGGCCAAGCGAAAGCGUUAAGUAUUCCACCUGGGGAGUACGCCGGCAACGGUGAAACUCAAAGGAAUUGACGGGGGCCCGCACAAGCGGAGGAACAUGUGGUUUAAUUCGAUGAUACGCGAGGAACCUUACCCGGGCUUAAAUUGCAGAUGAAUUACGGUGAAAGCCGUAAGCCGCAAGGCAUCUGUGAAGGUGCUGCAUGGUUGUCGUCAGCUCGUGCCGUGAGGUGUCGGCUUAAGUGCCAUAACGAGCGCAACCCUUGUUGUCAGUUACUAACAGGUUCCGCUGAGGACUCUGACAAGACUGCCAUCGUAAGAUGUGAGGAAGGUGGGGAUGACGUCAAAUCAGCACGGCCCUUACGUCCGGGGCUACACACGUGUUACAAUGGGGGGUACAGAGGGCCGCUACCACGCGAGUGGAUGCCAAUCCCCAAAACCUCUCUCAGUUCGGACUGGAGUCUGCAACCCGACUCCACGAAGCUGGAUUCGCUAGUAAUCGCGCAUCAGCCACGGCGCGGUGAAUACGUUCCCGGGCCUUGUACACACCGCCCGUCAAGCCAUGGGAGCCGGGGGUACCUGAAGUGCGUAACCGCGAGGAGCGCCCUAGGGUAAAACUGGUGACUGGGGCUA